rnacentral:rRNA from 1 species
CGCGUAGGCGGCCUGAUAAGUAGGGGGUGAAAUCCUGCGGCUUAACCGCAGGGCUGCCUUCUAAACUGUCAGGCUCGAGCACAGUAGAGGCAGGUGGAAUUCCCGGUGUAGCGGUGGAAUGCGUAGAGAUCGGGAAGAACAUCAGUGGCGAAGGCGGCCUGCUGGGCUGUUGCUGACGCUGAGGCGCGACAGCGGUGGGGAGCAAACA